UACGUAGGGGGCUAGCGUUGUCCGGAUUUAUUGGGCGUAAAGAGCGUGUAGGCGGCCAGGUAGGUCUGGUGUGAAAACUCGAGGCUUAACCUCGAGAUGUCAUCGGAAACCGACUGGCUAGAGUCCGGAAGAGGAGAGUGGAAUUCCCGGUGUAGCGGUGAAAUGCGCAGAUAUCGGGAAGAACACCCGUGGCUAAGGCGGCUCCCUAGUACGGUACUGACGCUGAGGAGCGAAAGCAUGGGGAGCGAACAGG
rnacentral:rRNA from 1 species